AUAGGAGAUAGAACUUUUUUUUUUUUUUGGCUCUAUAGAGAUAGUACCGCAAGGGAAAGAUGAAAGACAAAGUCAAUAGUAAAGAAAAGCAUAGAUUACCCUACUACCUUUUGUAUAAUGAGUUAACUAGAAUAAAUUUGGCGAAGAGAACUGAAGCCAACCACCCCGAAACCAAACGAGCUACUUUCAAACGGCUAACAGAGCAAACUCGUCUAUGUGGCAAAAUAGAAGAUUUGAAAGUCGAGGUGAAAAGCCAACCGAGCUUGGUGAUAGCUGGUUAUCCAAAUAAGAAUCUUAGUUCAGCUUUAAGUUUUCCGAAAAUAUUACUAAAUUAAAUGAAAACUUAAAACUUAAUUUAAAGAGGGACGGCUCUUUAAAAUAAGGAAACAAGCUUCAACAGCGGGUAAAAAAACAAAGGCUUCAUAGUUGGCCUAAGAGCAGCCAUCAAUUGAGAAAGCGUUCAAGCUCAACAAAUCAUACAACUUUUAAUACCAAUAAAAUUUAAUGAACCCCUGAUUAACAAUUGGAUUAAUCUAUAAAUAUAUAGAAGAGAUAAUGUUAACAUUAGUAACAAGAAAUAAUUCUCCCUGCACAAGUUUAAAUCAAAUAUACAUUUGAUUGUUAACAAUUCAAUAAGACAAGACACCUCAUUAGUACUCUUAUUAAGCUAAUUGUUAAUCCGACACAGGAGUGCUGCUCAGGAAAGACGAAACAAAGCAAAAGGAACUCGGCAAACAUAAAUCCUGCCUGUUUACCAAAAACAUCACCUCUAGCAUCCCCAGUAUUAGAGGCACUGCCUGCCCAGUGACAUCAGUUCAACGGCCGCGGUAUCCUGGCCGUGCAAAGGUAGCAUAAUCACUUGUUCUUUAAAUAAGGACUCAUAUGAAUGGCUAGACGAGGGUUUAACUGUCUCUUGCUUUUUGUCAGUGAAAUUGAUCUUCCCGUGAAGAAGCAGGAAUAACAUAAUAAGAUGAGAAGACCCUAUGGAGCUAUAAUUUAUUAGCCUAUUCAACCCAUCUCCGACCCGCAAGGGCAUAAAACAUACAGAACCUCGGCUAAUAAUUUCGGUUGGGGUGACCUCAGAGAAUAAUAAAACCUCCGAAUUAUAUUAACCUAGAUCUAACAAAUCAAAGUUUACAUCAUCAAUUGAUCCAAAACUCCUUUUGACCAAUGGACCAAGUUACCCUAGGGAUAACAGCGCAAUCCUAUUCUAGAGUUCAUAUCGACGAUAGGGUUUAUGACCUCCAUGUUGGAUCUGGUCAUCCUAAUGGUGCAGCCGCUAUCGAGGGUCCGUUUGUUCAACGAUUAAUAGUCCUACCUGGUCUGAGUUCAGACCAGAGCAAUCCAGGUCGGUUUCUAUCUAUUAUAAACUUCUCCUAGUA
rnacentral:rRNA from 1 species